GACGAACGCUGGCGGCGUGCUUAACACAUGCAAGUCGAACGGAAAGGCCCUGCUUUUGUGGGGUGCUCGAGUGGCGAACGGGUGAGUAACACGUGAGUAACCUGCCCUUGACUUUGGGAUAACUUCAGGAAACUGGGGCUAAUACCGGAUAGGAGCUCCUGCUGCAUGGUGGGGGUUGGAAAGUUUCGGCGGUUGGGGAUGGACUCGCGGCUUAUCAGCUUGUUGGUGGGGUAGUGGCUUACCAAGGCUUUGACGGGUAGCCGGCCUGAGAGGGUGACCGGCGACAUUGGGACUGAGAUACGGCCCAGACUCCUACGGGAGGCAGCAGUGGGAGAUAUUGCACAAUGGGCGGAAGCCUGAUGCAGCAACGCCGCGUGCGGGAUGACGGCCUUCGGGUUGUAAACCGCUUUCGCCUGUGACGAAGCGUGAGUGACGGUAAUGGGUAAAGAAGCACCGGCUAACUACGUG
rnacentral:rRNA from 1 species